UACGAAGGGGGCUAGCGUUGCUCGGAAUUACUGGGCGUAAAGGGCGCGUAGGCGGCUUGGUCAGUCAGGCGUGAAAUUCCUGGGCUCAACCUGGGGACUGCGCUUGAUACGGCCAGGCUUGAGGCCGAGAGAGGGUGGUGGAAUUCCCAGUGUAGAGGUGAAAUUCGUAGAUAUUGGGAAGAACACCGGUGGCGAAGGCGACCACCUGGCUCGGUACUGACGCUGAGGCGCGACAGCGUGGGGAGCAAACAGG
rnacentral:rRNA from 1 species